rnacentral:rRNA from 1 species
AGGGUUUGAUUCUGGCUCAGGACGAACGCUGGCGGCGCGCCUAACACAUGCAAGUCGAACGGAGCUGAGAGGAGCUUGCUUUUCUUAGCUUAGUGGCGAACGGGUGAGUAACGCGUGAGUAACCUGCCCUGGAGUGGGGGACAACAGUUGGAAACGACUGCUAAUACCGCAUAAGCCCACGGCCCGGCAUCGGGCUGAGGGAAAAGGAUUUAUUCGCUUCAGGAUGGACUCGCGUCCAAUUAGCUAGUUGGUGAGGUAACGGCCCACCAAGGCGACGAUUGGUAGCCGGACUGAGAGGUUGAACGGCCACAUUGGGACUGAGACACGGCCCAG